rnacentral:rRNA from 1 species
UGGGGAAUAUUGCACAAUGGGCGCAAGCCUGAUGCAGCCAUGCCGCGUGUAUGAAGAAGGCCUUCGGGUUGUAAAGUACUUUCAGCGAGGAGGAAGGCGUUGUGGUUAAUAACCGCAGCGAUUGACGUUACUCGCAGAAGAAGCACCGGCUAACUCCGUGCCAGCAGCCGCGGUAAUACGGAGGGUGCAAGCGUUAAUCGGACUUACUGGGCGUAAAGCGCACGCAGGCGGUCUGUCAAGUCGGAUGUGAAAUCCCCGGGCUCAACCUGGGAACUGCAUCCGAAACUGGCAGGCUAGAGUCUUGUAGAGGGGGGUAGAAUUCCAGGUGUAGCGGGGAAAUGCGUAGAGAUCUGGAGGGAUACCGGUGGCGAAGGCGGCCCCCUGGACAAAGACUGACGCUCAGGUGCGAAAGCGUGGGGAGCAAACA